GCUAGGUUGUAUUAUUAGUUAAUGCAAGAUCGACUACGUCGACUAAAGUUCUAGGUAGAAUAAUGAUGAUGACAAUUUUUUACCUAUAUGUCUUGACCAAGUCUCGUGCCAGCAGUCGCGGUAAUACGUGGAAGACUAGUGUUAUUCAUCUUUAUUAGGUUUAAAGGGUACCUAGACGGUAUUUCUAGCCCAAAAUAGGGUACGGAUUUACUAGAGUUUUAUGUGAGGAGGGGAGUACUCGUGGAGUAGAGAUGAAAUUUUGUUAUACUAUGAGGUAACUGGUGGCGGCGAAAGCAACCUUCUAUGUAUAAACUGACGUUGAGGGACGAAGGCUUGGGUAGCAAAUAGGAUUAGAUACCCUAGUAGUCCAAGCAGACAAUUCUGAAUGCCAUAGAUUAGAUUAUUUUUGGUCUAUAAAUGAAAGUGUAAGCAUUCCACCUUAGGAGUAAUGUGGCAACACAGGAACUGAAAUCAUUAGACCGUUUCUGAAACCAGUAGUGAAGUAUGUUAUUUAAUUUGAUGGUCCACAAAAAACCUUACCACAACUUGAAUAUUUUUUAAUUAAUACAAGCGUUGCACGGCUGUCUUCAGUUAAUGUCGUGAGAUUUUGGUUAACUCCAUUAAUUAACGUAAACCCUUACUUUAUUUA
rnacentral:rRNA from 1 species